rnacentral:tmRNA from 1 species
GGGGCUGAUUCUGGAUUCGACGGGAUUUGCGAAACCCAAGGUGCAUGCCGAGGGGCGGUUGGCCUCGUAAAAAGCCGCAAAAAAUAGUCGCAAACGACGAAAACUACGCUUUAGCAGCUUAAUAACCUGCUUAGAGCCUUCUCUCCCUAGCCUCCGCUCUUAGGACGGGGAUCAAGAGAGGUCAAACCCAAAAGAGAUCGCGUGGAAGCCCUGCCUGGGGUUGAAGCGUUAAAACUUAAUCAGGCUAGUUUGUUAGUGGCGUGUCCGUCCGCAGCUGGCAAGCGAAUGUAAAGACUGACUAAGCAUGUAGUACCGAGGAUGUAGGAAUUUCGGACGCGGGUUCAACUCCCGCCAGCUCCACCA